UACGAAGGGGGCGAGCGUUGUUCGGAAUUACUGGGCGUAAAGGGCGCGCAGGCGGCCCUUGAAGUCAGGCGUGAAAGCCCCGGGCUCAACCUGGGAAUGGCCGUUGAAACUGGCGAACUGGAGUGUGGCAGAGGGGGGUGGAAUUCCGCGUGUAGCAGUGAAAUGCGUAGAGAUGCGGAGGAACACCGAUGGCGAAGGCAGCCCCCUGGGCUGACACUGACGCUCAGGCACGAAAGCGUGGGGAGCAAACAGG
rnacentral:rRNA from 1 species